rnacentral:rRNA from 1 species
GAUGAACGCUGGCGGCGUGCCUAAUACAUGCAAGUCGAGCGAACGGACGAGAAGCUUGCUUCUCUGAUGUUAGCGGCGGACGGGUGAGUAACACGUGGAUAACCUACCUAUAAGACUGGGAUAACUUCGGGAAACCGGAGCUAAUACCGGAUAAUAUUUUGAACCGCAUGGUUCAAAAGUGAAAGACGGUCUUGCUGUCACUUAUAGAUGGAUCCGCGCUGCAUUAGCUAGUUGGUAAGGUAACGGCUUACCAAGGCAACGAUGCAUAGCCGACCGGAGAGGGUGAGAGGCCACACUGGAACUGAGACACGGUCCAGACUCCUACGGGAGGCAGCAGUAGGGAAUCUUCCGCAAUGGGCGAAAGCCUGACGGAGCAACGCCGCGUGAGUGAUGAAGGUCUUCGGAUCGUAAAACUCUGUUAUUAGGGAAGAACAUAUGUGUAAGUAACUGUGCACAUCUUGACGGUACCUAAUCAGAAAGCCACGGCUAACUACGUG